rnacentral:rRNA from 1 species
ACUCAAAUGAAUAGACGGGGGCCCGCACAAGCGGUGGAACAUGUGGUUUAAUUCGAAGCUACGCGAAAAACCUCACCAGGGCUUGACAUAUAGGAAGUAGUGAACUGAAAGGGGAACGACCCGUUAAGUCGGGAGCUUAUACAGGUGCUGCAUGGCUGUCGUCAGCUCGUGUCGUGAGAUGUUGGGUUAAGUCCCGCAACGAGCGCAACCAUUGUCCUUUGUUGCCACUUUUCUCGGGCUUGCUCGAGGAAAAGCACUCUAAGGAGACUGCCCGGGAUAACCGGGAGGAAGGUGGAGAUGACGUCAAGUCAGUACGGCCUUUAUGCCCUGGGCGACACACGUGUUACAAUGGGUGAGACAAAGGGUUGCCAACCCGCGAGGGGGAGCUAAUCUCAAAAACUCAUCCUCAGUUCAGAUUGGAGUCUGCAAUUCGACUCCAUGAAGCCGGAAUCGCUAGUAAUGGCAGAUCAGCACGCUGCCGUGAAUACGUUCCCGGGCCUUGUACACACCGCCCGU